CCUACGGGAGGCAGCAGUGAGGAAUAUUGGUCAAUGGGCGAGAGCCUGAACCAGCCAAGUAGCGUGAAGGAUGACGGCCCUAUGGGUUGUAAACUGCUUUUGUACGGGGGUAAACCGAGAUACGUGUACCUGGUUGCAAGUAUUGUAUGAAUAAGGAUCGGCUAACUCCGUGCCAGCAGCCGCGGUAAUACGGAGGAUCCGAGCGUUAUCCGGAUUUAUUGGGUUUAAAGGGUGCGUAGAUGGGUUGAUAAGUUAGUGGUGAAAGGUUGGGGCUCAACCGUGAAAUUGCAUUUAAUACUGGCAGACUUGAGUAUAGUUGCGGUAGGCGGAAUGUAUGGUGUAGCGGUGAAAUGCUUAGAGAUCAGGCAGAACACCGAUUGCGAAGGCAGCUUACUAAACUGUGACUGACGUUGAGGCACGAAAGCGUGGGUAGCAAACAGGAUUAGAUACCCCAGUAGUC
rnacentral:rRNA from 1 species